GGGGCUGGGGCUCAGUGGUAGAGCGCCUGCCUCGCAAGCCUGAGGCACUGGGUCCGAUCCUCAGCGCCACCU
rfam:Ictidomys tridecemlineatus contig030899, whole genome shotgun sequence.